rnacentral:rRNA from 1 species
CAUAUGGAUUCCUACGGGAGGCAGCAGUGGGGAAUAUUGCACAAUGGGCGCAAGCCUGAUGCAGCAACGCCGCGUGAGGGACGAAGGCCUUCGGGUUGUAAACCUCUUUUAGUAGGGAAGAAGCGACUGGGUUUUCCUGGGAGUGACGGUACCUGCAGAAAAAGCACCGGCUAACUACGUGCCAGCAGCCGCGGUAAUACGUAGGGUGCAAGCGUUGUCCGGAAUUAUUGGGCGUAAAGAGCUCGUAGGCGGUUUGUCGCGUCUGCUGUGAAAACCCGAGGCCUCAACCUCGGGCCUGCAGUGGGUACGGGCAGACUAGAGUGCGGUAGGGGAGAUUGGAAUUCCUGGUGUAGCGGUGGAAUGCGCAGAUAUCAGGAGGAACACCAAUGGCAAAGGCAGAUCUCUGGGCCGUAACUGACGCUGAGGAGCGAAAGCAUGGGGAGCGAACAGGAUUAGAUACCCUGGUAGUCCAUGCCGUAAACGUUGGGAACUAGAUGUGGGGACCAUUCCACGGUCUCCGUGUCGCAGCUAACGCAUUAAGUUCCCCGCCUGGGGAGUACGGCCGCAAGGCUAAAACUCAAAGGAAUUGACGGGGGCCCGCACAAGCGGCGGAGCAUGCGGAUUAAUUCGAUGCAACGCGAAGAACCUUACCAAGGCUUGACAUAUACCGGAAACGGCUGGAAACAGUCGCCCCGCAAGGUCGGUAUACAGGUGGUGCAUGGUUGUCGUCAGCUCGUGUCGUGAGAUGUUGGGUUAAGUCCUUCA